rnacentral:lncRNA from 1 species
CUUUUCUGAGAGGAAAAGGAAAGGGAAAGGGAGAGAAAAAGGAGAGACACUGAACUGAAUGGAGGAUUGUGCCUGAGAAGAACCUACAGAGAGCCCACUGAAGUUUUACAAUGUGCCAGAGCUAUAAUGAUGUGGCAUGAAUCUCAGCAUGAUAGAAGACCCUGAAGUGUCAGAUUCAAUAAUGAAGAAACCAUAGAGGCCAUCUAUUCUAUCUUUUGCUUGAAUUUUCUCUGCUAGCCUAUAAUGUACCACCUCAUGGAUCAUCAAUUCCACAUUUGGACAAAUAGAUAGCUUAAAUACUUUUUCUUUAUAUUGACGCACAAGAGGCUCUUACAUCAUUACUGGUUUUACCCAUGGAUCACACAGUGUAAGUAUGAUCUCUUUUUAUCAGUCCU